rnacentral:rRNA from 1 species
UACGUAGGUGGCAAGCGUUGUCCGGAAUUAUUGGGCGUAAAGAGCUCGUAGGUGGUUUGUCGCGUUGUCCGUGAAAACUCACAACUCAAUUGUGGGCGUGCGGGCGAUACGGGCAGACUGGAGUACUGCAGGGGAGACUGGAAUUCCUGGUGUAGCGGUGGAAUGCGCAGAUAUCAGGAGGAACACCGGUGGCGAAGGCGGGUCUCUGGGCAGUAACUGACGCUGAGGAGCGAAAGCGUGGGGAGCGAACAGG